AUUGAACGCUGGCGGCAGGCUUAACACAUGCAAGUCGAGCGGGGGAAGGUAGCUUGCUACCGGACCUAGCGGCGGGCGGGUGAGUCAUGCUUAGGAAUCUGCCUAUUAGUGGGGGACAACCUCUCGAAAGGGAUGCUAAUACCGCAUACGUCCUACGGGAGAAAGCAGGGGAUCUUCGGACCUUGCGCUAAUAGAUUAGCCCAAGUCGGAUUAGCUAGUUGGUGGGGUAAAGGCCUACCAAGGCGACGAUCUGUAGCGGGUCUGAGAGGCUGAUCCGCCACACUGGGACUGAGACACGGCCCAGACUCCUACGGGAGGCAGCAGUGGGGAAUAUUGGACAAUGGGGGGAACCCUGAUCCAGCCAUGCCGCGUGUGUGAAGAAGGCCUUAUGGUUGUAAAGCACUUUAAGCGAGGAGGAGGCUACUUUAGUUAAUACCUAGAGAUAGUGGACGUUACUCGCAGAAUAAGCACCGGCUAACUCUGUGCCAGCAGCCGCCGUAA
rnacentral:rRNA from 1 species